rnacentral:lncRNA from 12 species
CUCAAACUGGGCUCUGUGUCUGGUGAAUCAAAGAUGACUCUGAGCUAAUUAAAAGGUUACAGCUUGACUUCAGUAUUGGUGGUUUCCAGCUGGAUAAGAGCCUGAGUGGGUUUUGUUCAUGUUUGUCCUGGAAUCUGUUGAGGCUGAGUGUGCUGAUGGAUAAUUGCAGGCGCCGUGUAUUAUUCAGAGGCAAAACAGGUCUCCAAAUCUUCUUUCCUGCAACAGAAUUGCACUUCUCAUUAGCUGGAAAUAACACCAUGAUAGACAACUGUUUCGUACAUGUUCAUAACAGAAAGUGAUUCAUCAACAAUUCAGGAGCCAUGCUUAGUUGGUAUGGUAAGUGCAAGAACAUGUAUGGAGAGAAUAUUAUUAGAGGGGACAAUAAGAGAGUAAGAAAAUCCUGGAAUGCAAGUAAAAUCAUGUGAAUUCUAAAAGGCAGCCAGCUCUCAAUUUGACAUGCAGUGGAUGUCAGCUUUGCAAAUGAAACACUGGAAGCUUCCUUAGCAAUGAAUAUAAAAA